rnacentral:tRNA from 1 species
UCGCGAUCGUGGUGCGCGGGACGGCGCCGGGUCCUCCAGAGCCCGGGACCCCGGCGGCCGGCACGUUCGGGCCCGGUGCGGUCGCGGU